UGCCCAGCAACUCAUAUCCCUACCUCCUCGUGGUACCGACCGGAAACUAUGAGCAACAUUAGGGAAGAUCGGGUAACCAACCCCGGUGGGAACUUUGGUCAUAGGCUGACUGGGAAGG
rfam:Aedes albopictus isolate Foshan contig80552, whole genome shotgun sequence.